rnacentral:lncRNA from 1 species
CAUGAAUUGUCCUGGAGGCAGCGCUGCUUUUAGUGCCUUUGCUAGGAGGGUCUCCUGGAUGUAAACUCUGUCUGGCCCUAGCCCCCCAACAGGAUGUGGGCAGCCUGCAUCUCCGCUGGACUGGAGCCAAAAUGCCAAAGCACAGCACCUUCGAGUUCCAUGCCUCCAGAAGGGCUUGUCCCUGCGCACUGGGAUGGUGCUUGUUUGCAAGAGUCAAGAAUUCCAGAGAAAAUGAUAUUCUUGGAGCUGCUGGUAUCCUUCGAGCUUCGUAUGACUUUGAAAGAAAAAAAAUACCCACUUAAUCCUGAGUGCCUCCAAAUCAUAUUUGCUGAUAAACCCUGGAUUUAAGUUGUAAACAAAUUAAAGAUUAAAAACUUUCCUUUGGCA